ACAAAACUAUUUGACCAUCUUUGCAUUAAGGCAAUGUAUAACCCAUCUACAUCUCUAUCAUUUAGUAGGCUUCUGGCCACUGAUAACACCCCAACUCAAAUGGAAAUAAGGGAUAUAGAAAUGUAUUAUCUCACGUGACUGGAAGGCUGGGGUAGGACCACCUUCACAGAUGGUGGAAUCACUGGCUCACCAAUAGGCUUAAAUUGCAGCAGCUGCAGGCAUCAUGCCCAGACCUGCCAUGUUCAGGGGAAGAAGAGGGAUAGAAAGAUCGUCUCUUCCUGUGGCUCCCUCACAGAAGAUGGAAUUGUUCCAGAAACUCCCCAGAUUUCCCUCUGAUUUGGCCACAUUUUGGACAUGUCCAUGCUUGGACCACUUGCAAGGGGAAAGGGAUUACCAGAAUCGCUUGGACGAUCCAGGAACCACUCCUGGAUAUGGGGUGGGGUCAGCUUGUCUUGGGGCACAUGCUGCCUGUGUGUGAGGCAGACACCCAUGUCAGACAGGCUUCUACAGGAAACAGGUGGCUCACAAAAAUCGAGUACUGUGAGGGGAGGUUAACAGGGAGACUACAGACGUAUGAGUGGUGUAAGGAAAUUAAAUAAAAAAACAAAAACCCCUGCACCUCCAAGGCCAGUAACAGGGCAUACUGUUACCAUCUAUAUUGGUUUCCUGUGGCCACUAUAAGAAAAUAAUACAAAUUAUGUGGCUUAAAACAACAGAAAUUUAUAUUCUUUUUUAAAAUUACACUCUAAGUUCUGGGAUACAUGUGCAGAAUGUGAGUUCAUGUCCCUUUCAGGAACAUGGAUAAAGCUGGAAACCAUUCUCAGCGAACUGACACAAGAAAUUUAUUCUUUUUUUUUUUUUUUUUUUUUUUUAGACGGAGUUUCAUUCUUGUUACCGAGGCUGGAGUGCAAUGGCGCGAUCUCGGCUCACUGCAACCUCCGCCUCCUGGGUUCAGGCAAUUCUCCUGCCUCAGCCUCCUGAGUAGCUGGGAUUACAGGCAUGCGCCACCAUGCCCAGCUAAUUUUUUGUAUUUUUAAGACAGGGUUUCACCAUGUUGGCCAGGUAGGUCUUGAACUCCUGACCUCAGGUGAUCUGCCCACCCCAGCAUCCCAAAGUGCUGGGAUUAUAGGCAUAAGCCACUGUACCUUUUUCCAUUUAUUUUUAUUUUUGGUAGAGAUGGGGUCUUGCCAUGUUGCCCAGGCUGGUCUCAAACUCCUGGCCUCAAGCAAUUCUCCUGCCUCAGACUCCCAAAGUCCUGGAAUUAUAGACAUGAGCUACCAUAGCUGGCCUCUUUUUCUUCUACUUAAUAGACAUGUGUUAAGCACUUGUGAUGGGCUAGGCAGUAUAGGUAUGACAUUGAGAAGCUUC
rnacentral:lncRNA from 1 species